UUACUAGAUUUGGCAGCACAUAUACUAAGAUUGGAAUGAUACAGAGAAGAUUAGCAUGGCCCCUGCUCAAGAAUGACAUGCAAGUUUGUGAAACAUUCCAUAUUUUU